UAACACGUAUCCAACCUGCCGUCUACUCUUGGACAGCCUUCUGAAAGGAAGAUUAAUACAAGAUGGCAUCAUGAGUCCGCAUGUUCACAUGAUUAAAGGUAUUCCGGUAGACGAUGGGGAUGCGUUCCAUUAGAUAGUAGGCGGGGUAACGGCCCACCUAGUCUUCGAUGGAUAGGGGUUCUGAGAGGAAGGUCCCCCACAUUGGAACUGAGACACGGUCCAAACUCCUACGGGAGGCAGCAGUGAGGAAUAUUGGUCAAUGGGCGCAGGCCUGAACCAGCCAAGUAGCGUGAAGGAUGACUGCCCUAUGGGUUGUAAACUUCUUUUAUAAAGGAAUAAAGUCGGGUAUGUAUACCCGUUUGCAUGUACUUUAUGAAUAAGGAUCGGCUAACUCCGUGCCAGCAGCCGCGGUAAUACGGAGGAUCCGAGCGUUAUCCGGAUUUAUUGGGUUUAAAGGGAGCGUAGAUGGAUGUUUAAGUCAGUUGUGAAAGUUUGCGGCUCAACCGUAAAAUUGCAGUUGAUACUGGAUAUCUUGAGUGCAGUUGAGGCAGGCGGAAUUCGUGGUGUAGCGGUGAAAUGCUUAGAUAUCACGAAGAACUCCGAUUGCGAAGGCAGCCUGCUAAGCUGCAACUGACAUUGAGGCUCGAAAGUGUGGGUAUCAAACAGGGUUAGAUACCCUGGUAGUCCACACGGUAAACGAUGAAUACUCGCUGU
rnacentral:rRNA from 1 species